rnacentral:siRNA from 1 species
GAGACGACUCAAUACGACGGUGUC